GACGAACGCUGGCGGCGUGCCUAAUACAUGCAAGUUGAGCGCUGAAGGUUGGUACUUGUACCAACUGGAUGAGCAGCGAACGGGUGAGUAACGCGUGGGGAAUCUGCCUUUGAGCGGGGACAACAUUUGGAAACGAAUGCUAAUACCGCAUAAAAACUUUAAACACAAGUUUUAAGUUUGAAAGAUGCAAUUGCAUCACUCAAAGAUGAUCCCGCGUUGUAUUAGCUAGUUGGUGAGGUAAAGGCUCACCAAGGCGAUGAUACAUAGCCGACCUGAGAGGGUGAUCGGCCACAUUGGGUCUGAGACACGGCCCAAACUCCUACGGGAGGCAGCAGUAGGGAAUCUUCGGCAAUAGACGAAAGUCUGACCGAGCAACGCCGCGUGAGUGAAGAAGGUUUUCGGAUCGUAGAACUCUGUUGGUAGAGAAGAACGUUGGUGAGAGUGGAAAGCUCAUCAAGUGACGGUAACUACCCAGAAAGGGACGGCUAACUACGUG
rnacentral:rRNA from 1 species